AUGCGUACAAGCAGUGGGAGCCUACUUGUUAGGUGACUGCGUACCUUUUGUAUAAUGGGUCAGCGACUUAUAUUCAGUGGCAAGCUUAACCGUAUAGGGUAGGCGUAGCGAAAGCGAGUCUUAAUAGGGCGUUUAGUCGCUGGGUAUAGACCCGAAACCGGGCGAUCUAUCCAUGAGCAGGUUGAAGGUUAGGUAACACUGACUGGAGGACCGAACCCACUCCCGUUGAAAAGGUAGGGGAUGACUUGUGGAUCGGAGUGAAAGGCUAAUCAAGCUCGGAGAUAGCUGGUUCUCCUCGAAAGCUAUUUAGGUAGCGCCUCAUGUAUCACUCUGGGGGGUAGAGCACUGUUUCGGCUAGGGGGUCAUCCCGACUUACCAAACCGAUGCAAACUCCGAAUACCCAGAAGUGCCGAGCAUGGGAGACACACGGCGGGUGCUAACGUCCGUCGUGAAAAGGGAAACAACCCAGACCGCCAGCUAAGGUCCCAAAGUUGUGGUUAAGUGGUAAACGAUGUGGGAAGGCUUAGACAGCUAGGAGGUUGGCUUAGAAGCAGCCAUCCUUUAAAGAAAGCGUAAUAGCUCACUAGUCGAGUCGGCCUGCGCGGAAGAUGUAACGGGGCUCAAACCACACACCGAAGCUGCGGGUGUCACGUAAGUGACGCGGUAGAGGAGCGUUCUGUAAGCCUGUGAAGGUGAGUUGAGAAGCUUGCUGGAGGUAUCAGAAGUGCGAAUGCUGACAUGAGUAACGACAAUGGGUGUGAAAAACACCCACGCCGAAAGACCAAGGGUUCCUGCGCAACGUUAAUCGACGCAGGGUUAGUCGGUUCCUAAGGCGAGGCUGAAAAGCGUAGUCGAUGGGAAACAGGUUAAUAUUCCUGUACUUCUGGUUACUGCGAUGGAGGGACGGAGAAGGCUAGGCCAGCUUGGCGUUGGUUGUCCAAGUUUAAGGUGGUAGGCUGAAAUCUUAGGUAAAUCCGGGGUUUCAAGGCCGAGAGCUGAUGACGAGUCGUCUUUUAGAUGACGAAGUGGUUGAUGCCAUGCUUCCAAGAAAAGCUUCUAAGCUUCAGGUAACCAGGAACCGUACCCCAAACCGACACAGGUGGUCGGGUAGAGAAUACCAAGGCGCUUGAGAGAACUCGGGUGAAGGAACUAGGCAAAAUGGCACCGUAACUUCGGGAGAAGGUGCGCCGGCUAGGGUGAAGGAUUUACUCCGUAAGCUCUGGCUGGUCGAAGAUACCAGGCCGCUGCGACUGUUUAUUAAAAACACAGCACUCUGCAAACACGAAAGUGGACGUAUAGGGUGUGACGCCUGCCCGGUGCCGGAAGGUUAAUUGAUGGGGUUAGCGCAAGCGAAGCUCUUGAUCGAAGCCCCGGUAAACGGCGGCCGUAACUAUAACGGUCCUAAGGUAGCGAAAUUCCUUGUCGGGUAAGUUCCGACCUGCACGAAUGGCGUAACGAUGGCGGCGCUGUCUCCACCCGAGACUCAGUGAAAUUGAAAUCGCUGUGAAGAUGCAGUGUAUCCGCGGCUAGACGGAAAGACCCCGUGAACCUUUACUGUAGCUUUGCACUGGACUUUGAGCCUGCUUGUGUAGGAUAGGUGGGAGGCUUUGAAGCGUGGACGCCAGUUCGCGUGGAGCCAUCCUUGAAAUACCACCCUGGCAUGCUUGAGGUUCUAACUCUGGUCCGUGAUCCGGAUCGAGGACAGUGUAUGGUGGGCAGUUUGACUGGGGCGGUCUCCUCCUAAAGAGUAACGGAGGAGUACGAAGGUGCGCUCAGACCGGUCGGAAAUCGGUCGCAGAGUAUAAAGGCAAAAGCGCGCUUGACUGCGAGACAGACACGUCGAGCAGGUACGAAAGUAGGUCUUAGUGAUCCGGUGGUUCUGUAUGGAAGGGCCAUCGCUCAACGGAUAAAAGGUACUCCGGGGAUAACAGGCUGAUACCGCCCAAGAGUUCAUAUCGACGGCGGUGUUUGGCACCUCGAUGUCGGCUCAUCACAUCCUGGGGCUGAAGCCGGUCCCAAGGGUAUGGCUGUUCGCCAUUUAAAGUGGUACGCGAGCUGGGUUUAGAACGUCGUGAGACAGUUCGGUCCCUAUCUGCCGUGGACGUUUGAGAUUUGAGAGGGGCUGCUCCUAGUACGAGAGGACCGGAGUGGACGAACCUCUGGUGUUCCGGUUGUCACGCCAGUGGCAUUGCCGGGUAGCUAUGUUCGGAAAAGAUAACCGCUGAAAGCAUCUAAGCGGGAAACUUGCCUCAAGAUGAGAUCUCACUGGGAACUUGAUUCCCCUGAAGGGCCGUCGAAGACUACGACGUUGAUAGGCUGGGUGUGUAAGCGUUGUGAGGCGUUGAGCUAACCAGUACUAAUUGCCCGUGAGGCUUGACCAU
rnacentral:rRNA from 1 species